UUGCUUUGGUAGCACUUAUGCUAAAAUAAUAGGAUACAGAGAAGAUUAGCAUGGCCCCUGUGCAAAAAUGACAUGUGAAUUCAUGAAGCAUUUCAUAAAUUU